CAGCCCGCGGCUGGUGGGGUCCGGCGGGGCUGUGCGGGCGGCGGGGGGCUGUGGCCAUGGGGGUCCCUAAGUUCUACCGGUGGAUCUCGGAGCGGUACCCUUGCCUCAGCCAGGUGCUGAAGGAGCAUCAGAUUCCAGAAUUUGACAACUUAUACCUGGACAUGAAUGGCAUUAUACAUCAAUGUUCACAUCCAAAUGACGAUGAUGUUCACUUCAGAAUCUCAGAAGAUAAGAUUUUUGCUGAUAUUUUUCACUAUUUAGAAGUACUGUUUCGCAUUAUUAAACCAAGGAAGGUUUUCUUCAUGGCAGUUGAUGGAGUAGCUCCAAGAGCAAAAAUGAAUCAGCAGCGUGGGAGACGUUUUAGGUCAGCAAAAGAGGCAGAGGACAAAAUAAAAAAGGCAUUAGAAAAGGGAGAAACUCUCCCUACAGAAGCCAGAUUUGACUCCAAUUGUAUUACACCAGGAACUGAAUUCAUGGCCAGACUGCAUGAGCAUCUUAAAUAUUUUGUAAAUAUGAAGAUUUCCACAGACAAAUCCUGGCAAGGAGUAACAGUCUACUUAUCAGGCCAUGAGACUCCGGGGGAAGGUGAGCAUAAAAUUAUGGAGUUCAUCAGAUCAGAAAAAGCAAAGCCCCAUCAUGAUCCAAACACAAGACAUUGUCUCUAUGGCUUAGAUGCUGACUUGAUUAUGCUGGGAUUAACAAGUCAUGAGGCGCACUUUGCGCUCUUAAGAGAAGAAGUCAGAUUUGGUGGUAAAAAAUCUCAAAGAGCAUGUGCACCAGAGGAAACCACAUUUCAUUUACUGCACUUAUCACUGAUGAGAGAAUAUAUUGAUUAUGAAUUUUCACCAGUAAAAGACAAGAUUUCCUUUGAGUAUGAUAUUGAAAGGAUAAUAGAUGAUUGGAUCUUAAUGGGUUUCCUUGUUGGAAAUGAUUUUAUUCCUCAUCUACCUCAUUUACACAUUAAUCAUGAUGCACUGCCACUACUUUAUAGAACAUACAUGGCUAUCUUGCCAGAACUGGGAGGUUACAUAAAUGAGAAUGGACAUCUGAAUUUAAAACGCUUUGAGAAAUAUCUCACAAGAUUGUCAGAUUUUGAUCGUGAACACUUCAGUGAGGUCUUUGUAGACCUAAAAUGGUUUGAAAGUAAAGUAGGCAAUAAAUACCUCAAUGAGGCAGCUGGUAUUGCAGCAGAAGAAGCCAGAAAAAAUAAACAAAAGAAACAGAAGGCUCAGGAAAAUUCUAUAUGUUUGGCUGCUUUAGAAAAAAAUGAAGGUGAAGUGACCCCUAAAACUGUGUUGGAAGAUGAACCAGAAGAUGACGAUCUGUUUGAAACGGAGUUCAGGCAAUACAAAAGAACUUACUACAUGACAAAAAUGGGUGUAGAAGUAGUUUCUGAUGACUUCUUGGCUGAUCAAGCUGAAUGUUAUGUCCAGGCAAUACAAUGGAUUUUGCAUUAUUAUUACCAUGGAGUUCAAUCAUGGAGCUGGUAUUAUCCUUAUCAUUAUGCACCUUAUCUGUCAGAUAUUCGGAACAUCAGCGAACUCAAAAUCAAAUUUGAACUGGGAAAACCUUUCAUGCCAUUUGAACAGCUUCUUGCUGUUCUUCCAGCAGCAAGCAAAGAUCUGCUACCUAAAUGCUAUCAGCAUUUGAUGACUAGUCAAGACUCUCCAAUUAUAGAAUAUUAUCCACUGGAUUUUAAAACUGACCUAAAUGGAAAACAGCAAGAAUGGGAAGCUGUAGUAUUAAUUCCGUUUAUUGAUGAGAAACGACUGCUGCAGGCCAUGGAAUCCUGUAAUAAGUGCCUAAAAGAAGAAGAGAAAGGAAGAAAUACUCACAGUGCUUGCUUAAUGUACUGGUAUGACAAAGAUGCAGAGUUCCAGUACCUGUCACCGUGGCCAGAGAAAUUCCCUGCAAUAGAAAGGUGUCAUACAAGGUAUAAAACAAUACCUUUGGAUGCAUGGCACGUAGAAAUAACCCACAAUAAGAUAACUAAAAUUAACAAGAGUGCACUAUAUUUUUGUGGAUUUCCUACUUUAAAGCACAUUAAACAUAAGUUCUAUCUUAGAAAAAGUGGUGUACAGGUGUUUCAGCAAAGCAGCCAUGGAGAGAACAUGAUGUUAGAAAUCACAGCUGAUGAGAGCUCAAAAGAACAGAUAGUAGAAAAUGUUGCCAGUUUGGUACUUGGAAAGCGUGUUUUUGUUAACUGGCCACACCUUGAAGAAGCCAGAGUUGUUGCUGUGUCAGAUGGAGAAACUAAGUUUUAUUUGGAAGAACCACAUGGCACACAGAAGCUUUACAUGGGAAAUGCAGUGCCCCCAACUAAAGUGGCGUACGUUGGAGAUAAGGAGCAAACCAUAUGGUUAAAAGAAGUUCAAGGCAUUUCAGAACACUACCAGAGAAGAAAAGGAAUAAUUAUCCAUGACACAUUAAUAGUUGUAUAUGCUCAGUUACUCACUGGUAAUAGAUAUCAACUAAACCAAAAUGGGGAAGUUUAUUUGGAGAAGCAGUGGUCAAAACAAGUUCUUCCUUUCGUUUACCAAACUGUUGUCAAGGAUAUCAAAGCCUUUGACUCUCGUUUUUCAAACAUCAAGACAUUGGAUGACUUGUUUCCUCCUGGAAGUACAGCCUUUAUGCUGGGAUCUCCUUACUAUGGCUGCAUGGGAGAAGUUCAAGAUUCACGUGAUGUGAUCACAGAAGGUAGAAUUCGUGUAGUUUUCAAUAUUCCAUGUGAACCCCAGCUUGAUCCUUUAAUACAGAACCAGCAUAAAUAUUCUGUGAAAUACAAUCCUGCAUAUAUUUUGGCCAGCCGUCUUGGAGUAAGUGGAUAUCUUGUCUCCAGAUUUACAGGGAGUAUCUUUAUUGGAAGAGGAUCAAAGAAAAAUCCUCAUGGAGAUCACAAAGCAAACGUGGGGCUAAACCUGAAGUUCAAUAAGAAAAAUGAAGAAGUUCCUGGCUACACUAAGAAGGUUGGAAAUGAAUGGAUGUAUUCUUCUGCAGUAGAACAACUACUGGCUGAGUAUUUAGAAAGGGUCCCUGAACUAUUUAAUUAUAUAGCCAAGAACAGCCAGGAAGAUAUCUUCUAUGAAGAUGACAUUUGGCCUGGAGAGGAUGAGAAUGGUGCUGAGAAAGUUCAAGAAAUUGUUGUCUGGUUAAAGGCACAUCCGGUGUCUGCUUUGUCUCGCUCAUCUUGUGACUUGCAAAUUCUGGAUGCAGCCAUUGUUGAGAAAAUUGAAGAAGAAAUAGAGAAAUGCAAGCAGAGAAAGAGCAACAAGAAGGUGCGAGUAACUGUGAAACCCCAUUUGCUGUACAGACCAUUAGAACAACAGAAUGGGGUCGUUCCAGAUCGAGAUGCAGAGUACAGGCUGUUUGACCGUGUUGUCAAUGUGAGAGAGAACUUUUCUGUUCCAGUUGGUCUCCGAGGUACCAUUAUAGGAAUUAAAGGAGCCAGCAGAGAAACAGAUGUGCUCUUCGAAGUUUUGUUUGAUGAAGAAUUCCUUGGAGGCCUAACUAUAAGGUGCUCACCUGCCAGAGGUUAUCGUCUGCCAUCAAGUGCCUUAAUUAACCUGUCUCAUGGUAGUCGGUCAGAAAUGGGAAAUCAAAAACUGACAGCCAUAGUUAAACCUCAGCCAGCUGUGAAUCACUACAAUUCAUAUACAUGUGAUCUGUCAUCUGUAUGCUCUCAAAAAGUUCACCUGGGAGGCCUCAACCAUUCUCCUCGCUCCCUCUUUGUUCCUACUCAACAACUGAAUGGAAGACAGCAUUACAAUCUCAGGGCUGAAAAUCAGGGCAACUCCAACUCACCCCAGAAAGGAUCGUUUCUGAGUGGCAAUCAGAAAAAUAAAGCACAGAGUAAGCAAGAUGAUGAAUUCUGCAGCAUAUGGCAAUCAUUGCAGAGUUCUGGGAAGUCUCACCACAAUCAGCAAAACAUGCCUGAGAAGGGUGCAGUUCUACCUCAGGAGAUCAAGCUGGCAACUGGUAAUCAGUUCUAUAAGCCAGGAUUCAAUGACAGCAGCUUUAAAGGUCAGCAAAGAAAACAGGACCCCUAUAAAAAAUUUAAAGAAGAUUCCAAAGUUACAAGAGGUGAAAGUCAGCCACACAAUAAAAUAUCAAACAAACAGAAUUUUGCAGGUGUGAAUAAGUACAAUGUCAAACUUUUGAAGAGGAAUGAAAGUCCCAACAUGCCUGUAAAUCAGAAGGCUGCAGUUGAUGGUCCUUGUACAGGUGGAAAGAAGGACAAUGAACUUGAAAGUCUCCUAGCUUCUUUGAAAAUUCCCAAGGAAAAUGAAGUACAGACUUAUUCCAAGGAAGGAAGAGCUACGAAUGAAGAACAUCUGUCACCACAAUCAUUUGCUAUGAAAGGAACACAGAUGCUCAAAGAGAUUUUGAAGAUAGAUGGCUCUGACCUGGAAACAAGGAAUGAAGUGAAAUCCCAAGUUAAUGACAUUCCUGCUCCUGCUAGUAGACAAGAUUGCCAUGGACCUGCCUUGCAAUAUAGACAAACAAAAAAAAUUGCUGCUUAUAUGAACAAGCCUCAUAGCACUGGAGGCCCUCAGAACACACCAGCACUGGAAACUGGAGGUCACCCUUUUGCUUGUCCACAGCCUUCACUGUCUACUGUUUCUGAACUUUCUCGUAUUUGUUCACUUGUUGGAAUGCCACAACCAGAUUUCUCUUUCCUAAAAACACCACAGACCAUGACAGUUUGUCACAUAAAAUUAUCAAAUGGUUUGUUGGUUCAUGGACCACAGUGUCAUUCUGAAGCUGAAGCAAAGGAGAAAGCUGCACUUUUUGCUUUACAGCGUUUGAGUUCUAUCGGAGUAAACUUCCCUUUGCCUCCACCUCCGCCUCCACCAGUGUUUCCAAAUUAUCAACCACUAGGAGUUCCUGUACCACAUGGAUCUAUUUCUCCAGUAUUUGCACAACCCCCUGCUAAUAUAAUGCCUCCAUCAUCUCACAUUUUUGGUCCAGUGCCCUGGGGAGCUCCAGUGCCUAAGCAUUAUUAUCCUGGCUCCUAUCCAGGAAAUGUGUCUCUUGCAGGAUCUAUACCAGUUGGUUCUCACAACCAGUUUAUACCUCUGCAGUUAUGUUCUUCUCUUUCUGUCUCUGGAAAGGGGACACAGUGACACCAAGGGCAUAAGGGCAGUCUGAAUACACACUCUUGGCCAAAAGAACCCAAAUUCAGGUGCGUGAGGACCCAUGAAUAUUGAGACUGUAACUGAUAUAUGUUUCGAAGAAUCUGAUACCAUGAGAUUUUUUCCCUGUGAAUUUCCAGACUUUGAAAUCAAUGUUCUUUUAAAGAGGUGUUCAUCCCUGGAUUCUGUAGGUACAAAUGACCAUUCAUCAAAUGCAUAUACACAGGCAUAUAUAUAUAUCUAUAUACACGCACACAGAUAUGGGACUCAAUCUCUUAUUUUAUCAAAGCUGUUCCUAGUUCUAUCAUUUUUAGUCCACAUCAUAAUUCCUUAAGAGACAUCUAGAGGAUGAUGGACAUAUAUAUAUACAUUGCACAUCUCCAAAUGUAGAUAUUACUUAGGAUGGGUUAAAAGCAUGGGCAAAUAAUGAAAUACUAACAGAAUCAGUAUACUAGUUUUCACUGCAUUUGCUUUGGUACAUAAAUUCUUGGCUUAAAACUUGAUUGUCCUAAAGUCCACCUUAUUCUCUGUCAAAGAUUACUUCUGUUGCAGAGCCGGCAUACAGGAAGGACUGCUUGUGCCUCAGGCACAAUGCAGAACCUCACGUGUAUGGGCACAGUUUUGAUGUGCAAUUCUCCAGUGAAAAUUCUGGUUUAACCAGUCUCUUACUUGUUCCCACUGGAUUGUGCCAAACUGUUUGUAUCACCACAUUAUGAACCAUAUCAAGGAAUUAAUCUGAUUGAAACUCUUUCCCCCAUGUUAUUUUUCAGCCUGAUAGUUCGCCGCGGAGCCCCAAGAACAGCUGUGUUGGUACAACAGUUCGCACUGUGAGGGCAGGAUGAUUUAGCAAGAGUGGAACUGCUUAAGAAACAUCCCAUCGCUGCCUAAAACUCACAUCACCCAUGAAGCUAACAUGCUAGAUUAACUGAUGUCUUGUAUGUGGUUCUGUCUCUUGACUUCAAGGAAAGUGGUAAAUUCUGACAGGAGUAUGGGAGGAACUGCUGAAAAUGGUCAUACGGUGAAUUACUGCAGCAAAAGUUGCCAAAAUGUCAUCGCUUUCAUUUUGGGCCUUCUGUUCCCAGGCAAGACUUAAGUGAUGUGUGUGGGCUGCACCAACCAAUGGAGCAGCAGGAAUUAGUGGGCUCUUUCUUAUUUAAAGGCAAACUGACUAAGGACUGUGAUGUCAAAGCUUUCAUAAUGUUAAAACUUGUUAAAAGGGUAGAGCUAGAGAAGCGGGUAAAAUGGUAAAUAAGAGUUGGAUGAGGCAGCAGAAAGGUAGAUGUGUCUUGACAAAAUACAGCUAAGGAAGGGAAGUUAAAAAAACAUGCAUUACAAGGUUUGGGUUUUGUUCACCUAGAUUCUAGUAGCUGGAAUUCUUUUAGCCCUGCCAGUGGCAAGUUUGAUUCAUACUAGAAACCUGGGAUGAGCAGAGUCUCCUGUGCAUUAGUCACACAACCGAAAUGCACCUGAGAAUACCUUUAUUUACAAGAAAACAUAAGUUCGCUAUUCCAAAUACAGUUUAUUUAAUAAUUUGGAAAUUUUAGUUAAUAAACUGGUCCUAGAAAAUGUCAAUAUCAUGUUUUUUUUCUAGUAAUUAGGUCUACUGGAUCUGUAGCACUCCUAUCUCUCAAGGCCUAUUUUAACCUGGAUAACCGGGGCAAACCCCUCUUGCUUGGCAUCCUCUAAAGCAUACCUGUUGCUGACUGAAACAUGCUGAGCAUAUUGACAGUGAUUACAAAUGUUCAAUAUAAACUACUCAUGGUGGGGGUUUUGCCAUUGCUGCCAGCAAUGGAGGAUCUUCUUGUCCCUGAUGUUCUGCCUUUUGGUUGGUUUCACUUAAUAACUCUUUCCUUUGCUACAGCACUGGACAGUCCCUGGAGUGCUGCCACUCCUUCAUUUGGUUUCAUAUUCCAGUAAAAGAUAACACCAGUCACGCUUCCCAGAGACCAGAGAAGCUGAGGAUUUCAGCUGAGAAGAUGCAGAUGUAUGGGACACAGCUGCUGCGGUAAUUGGUCUGUGACCCCAGGUGUGUGAAUUCUCUGCUUUCUGAACAGGGCAAGUGGCACCUGCAUGCUCUCGCUCGCCCAGGAAGACCAGGGUGGUAGUUGAAGUUAUGCAGGCUUGUUUUCAGCGCUGCAGUGCAGUGUAAGAGGAAGGUGUCUGUACAUCUUCACUUCAAAUUGAAUGCUAAGAUGAACUUGGGGCUUAUACCCCUGUUAGCAGUAAGAUUUUUCUCCGAGGGCGACAGAGAUUUUGGAUAGACAAAGAGUGCCUGUGUGGGAGUUGUAUUAUUUGUGACAAAAUAACGUAAGCUGAUGCUGUAUAAGUAAUGUAUGGACAAGCUAUGCAUGUCUGAAAAUUCAUUGCCUCCUUUAUUGCAUUGUUUUUAUCACAUUGCAAGCAGAACAGUAAUACAAAAUCUGUAUUUCAUAAGCCUUUCAUAAAUUGAGCAAUUCUAAUACAUGCUACACAACUGAGAUUAUGUACAAACUGCAACUGUACAAGUUGGUUCAUGUUAUCUUUUUCCAGCAUAUAUAUGGUGUUUUUUUUCCAAGAUACAUCUAAAUUCUUAUUAACAUACUAAACAGUUCAAGAUUUGCAUGAAGAAAUAAGCUUAUGGUCACUUCUAUGCAAUACAGUGCAUCGCAGGGGGUAUGUAUUUGUUACAUUAAGAGCUUGCAAAAGAAAAAAGUAACCUGCAUCUUCAUUUUCUUUUUGAUGUUUUGUUUCAUCUUGCAGUGAGGCAGGCCUCACUUGGUAUUGUAAAAACAUGAAGGAUGCCUAAAUGUUUUCUCCCAGUUUUUCUUAGUUUUUUGAAUGUUUGGAGAGGAUUUAACCUUUUAUACCAGUGGCACAUGUUGAAUUUUAUUUAGGGAGAUUUCUUCAGGAGUUCUAAAUAUUUACCAAAACUAACAGAAUAAUUUAAAUAGUUUGAAGAAAAAGUCUUGAUCAGAUGUGAAGUACUUUGAUACCUUUUCUCUGACAUACAGCUAUGUAUGUCAAGAGAUUAUAAUUUGUCAAGGUAUAGCCAAAGAGAAUGUAAAAGCCAGAAAUGACUUUUUAAUGAGUCCUUCCUUAAGGAGGAGAGGUAAAGCAGCCAUUUCUUAGCUUUCCCUUUCACAUGCCCUCAGUUCCCCAUGAUCCAAACCUUCGUCCUGGUGACCCCUGUAGCUGCCCGGGUGAGGUGGAGUGCCACUUCCUGUGUGGCUUUCACUGUCCUUAGUAUUCCUGCCCUAAAGAUCUAAUAACAUCAGACUGUUAUCCCACAUAAUAUCCUUCUCUUGUUCAUAGUGCUACUUUUUGUAAGAAGGGCCAAACCGAAGUGCAGGGGGAAAAUGUUUUCUAUGUGUUUCUUGCUUUUGAUUGUCCUGCUCUAAUUAAAUGAGUUAAAACUGA